rnacentral:rRNA from 1 species
CAGCCGCCGCGGGAAAACGAAGGGGGCUAGCGUUGUUCGGAUUUACUGGGCGUAAAGCGCACGUAGGCGGACUUUUAAGUCAGGGGUGAAAUCCCGGGGCUCAACCCCGGAACUGCCUUUGAUACUGGAAGUCUUGAGUAUGGUAGAGGUGAGUGGAAUUCCGAGUGUAGAGGUGAAAUUCGUAGAUAUUCGGAGGAACACCAGUGGCGAAGGCGGCUCAUUGGACCAUUACUGACGCUGAGGUGCGAAAGCGUGGGGAGCAAACAGGAUUAGAGACCCCCGUAGUCCCUGUCUCUUAUAC